GAUGAACGCUGGCGGCGUGCUUAACACAUGCAAGUCGAACGGAAAGGCCCAAGCUUGCUUGGGUACUCGAGUGGCGAACGGGUGAGUAACACGUGGGUGAUCUGCCCUGCACUUCGGGAUAAGCCUGGGAAACUGGGUCUAAUACCGGAUAGGACGAUGGUUUGGAUGCCAUUGUGGAAAGUUUUUUCGGUGUGGGAUGAGCUCGCGGCCUAUCAGCUUGUUGGUGGGGUAAUGGCCUACCAAGGCGUCGACGGGUAGCCGGCCUGAGAGGGUAUACGGCCACAUUGGGACUGAGAUACGGCCCAGACUCCUACGGGAGGCAGCAGUGGGGAAUAUUGCACAAUGGGCGCAAGCCUGAUGCAGCGACGCCGCGUGGGGGAUGACGGCCUUCGGGUUGUAAACUCCUUUCGCUAGGGACGAAGCGUUUUUGUGACGGUACCUGGAGAAGAAGCACCGGCUAACUACGUGCCAGCAGCCGCGGUAAUACGUAGGGUGCGAGCGUUGUCCGGAAUUACUGGGCGUAAAGAGCUCGUAGGUGGUUUGUCGCGUCGUUUGUGUAAGCCCGCAGCUUAACUGCGGGACUGCAGGCGAUACGGGCAUAACUUGAGUGCUGUAGGGGAGACUGGAAUUCCUGGUGUAGCGGUGGAAUGCGCAGAUAUCAGGAGGAACACCGAUGGCGAAGGCAGGUCUCUGGGCAGUAACUGACGCUGAGGAGCGAAAGCAUGGGUAGCGAACAGGAUUAGAUACCCUGGUAGUCCAUGCCGUAAACGGUGGGCGCUAGGUGUGAGUCCCUUCCACGGGGUUCGUGCCGUAGCUAACGCAUUAAGCGCCCCGCCUGGGGACUGUACGGCCGCAAGGCUAAAACUCAAAGGAAUUGACGGGGGCCCGCACAAGCGGCUGAGCAUGUGGAUUAAUUCGAUGGAACGCGAACAACCUUACCUGGGCUUGACAUACACCAGAUGUAUCAAGAUAUACAUUUAUUCCUUUGGUAGCCAGUAAUCAAGCGGUCCACUGGUGUAGUCAAUGUUGUUGUCUUGGAAGAUGGGGUAAAUUGGGCAAAAAGGCGAACCACCUAUUAUUAUUUGACAGCACGUAAAGGUGGGAACUCAUGCAAUACUGCCGCUGACAAUCCGGAGGAAGGAGGGGAGGACGUCAAAUCAUCAUGCCCCUUAUGACUUGGGCUACACACGAACUACAAUGGCAUUUAGUAGAGGAAACGGAAACCGAGAGAUGGUCCAAACUCCAAAAACAAGCUCUCGUUGUGGUUGGUGUGUGGCACCUCACUUCCGUAAAAUGGGGUUGGUAGUUAU
rnacentral:rRNA from 1 species